rnacentral:rRNA from 1 species
AGUGAACGCUGGCGGUAGGCCUAACACAUGCAAGUCGAACGGCAGCACAGUAAGAGCUUGCUCUUACGGGUGGCGAGUGGCGGACGGGUGAGGAAUACAUCGGAAUCUACUUUGUCGUGGGGGAUAACGUAGGGAAACUUACGCUAAUACCGCAUACGACCUACGGGUGAAAGCAGGGGAUCUUCGGACCUUGCGCGAUUGAAUGAGCCGAUGUCGGAUUAGCUAGUUGGCGGGGUAAAGGCCCACCAAGGCGACGAUCCGUAGCUGGUCUGAGAGGAUGAUCAGCCACACUGGAACUGAGACACGGUCCAGACUCCUACGGGAGGCAGCAGUGGGGAAUAUUGGACAAUGGGCGCAGGCCUGAUCCAGCCAUACCGCGUGGGUGAAGAAGGCCUUCGGGUUGUAAAGCCCUUUUGUUGGGAAAGAAAAGCAGCAGGUUAAUACCCCGCUGUUCUGACGGUACCCAAAGAAUAAGCACCGGCUAACUUCGUG